UACGUAGGGGGCAAGCGUUGUCCGGAUUUAUUGGGCGUAAAGCGCUCGCAGGUGGUCCGUCGCGUCGUGCGUGAAAGACCCCGGCUCAACUGGGGAGGGUCGUGCGAUACGGGCGGACUGGAGGCCAGUAGGGGGAUGCGGAAUUCCGGGUGUAGUGGUGGAAUGCGUAGAGAUCCGGAGGAACACCAGCGGCGGAGGCGGCAUCCUGGACUGGUCCUGACACUCAGGAGCGAAAGCGUGGGGAGCGAGCCGG
rnacentral:rRNA from 1 species